rnacentral:rRNA from 1 species
GACGGAGGAUGCAAGCGUUAUCCGGAAUGAUUGGGCGUAAAGCGUCUGCAGGUGGCAGUUCAAGUCUGCUGUCAAAGCCCGGGGCUUAACUUCGGAAAGGCAGUGGAAACUGAACAGCUAGAGUAUGGUAGGGGCAGAGGGAAUUCCUGGUGUAGCGGUGAAAUGCGUAGAGAUCAGGAAGAACAUCGGUGGCGAAGGCGCUCUGCUGGACCAUAACUGACACUCAGGGACGAAAGCUAGGGGAGCGAAUGGG